rnacentral:sRNA from 1 species
UCACUUAGCAACAAAGUCUACAACUCCAU